rnacentral:rRNA from 1 species
UACGUAGGGUGCAAGCGUUGUCCGGAUUUAUUGGGUUUAAAGGGUGCGUAGGCGGCCCUGUAAGUCAGCGGUGAAAUCCCAGGGCUCAACCCUGGAACUGCCGUUGAUACUGCAGGGCUUGAGUUCGGUUAAGGCGGGCGGAACUGGUGGUGUAGCGGUGAAAUGCAUAGAUACCACCAAGAACCCCGAUUGCGUAGGCAGCUCGCUGAGCCGAAACUGACGCUGAGGCACGAAAGCGUGGGGAGCGAACAGG